rnacentral:snRNA from 1 species
GGGUGUGAGGGCAAUCUAGUUGGACAUCUGAGUCCCCACUGAUGGCCAGAGUUGAUUUGGCUGAUCUGGCUGCCUAGGUGUGUGUCCCCUUCCUCCCUCACUGCUCUGCCCCGCCCUGCCCCGCCCCGCCCCGCCCCGUGUGCCUCCCUCCAGAAGCUGCGUGAUUGGUGAAAGAGGACCGUCCUUUGGUGAAGGGUAUAUGAGUAGCUGUGCUCCCCUGCUAGAACCUCCAAAUAAAUUCUCAAGGUCCAUUUGUAGGAGAACAUAGGGUAGUCACUCUUUCAAGACUCCAGACACAUCCAAAUGAGGGGCUGGAUGUGGCAGUCUGCCUUUGUUU